UGGGGAAUAUUGGACAAUGGGCGCAAGCCUGAUCCAGCCAUGCCGCGUGUGUGAAGAAGGCCUUUUGGUUGUAAAGCACUUUAAGCGAGGAGGAGGCUACUUGGAUUAAUAGUCUAGGAUAGUGGACGUUACUCGCAGAAUAAGCACCGGCUAACUCUGUGCCAGCAGCCGCGGUAAUACAGAGGGUGCGAGCGUUAAUCGGAUUUACUGGGCGUAAAGCGUGCGUAGGCGGCUUCUUAAGUCGGAUGUGAAAUCCCUGAGCUUAACUUAGGAAUUGCAUUCGAUACUGGGAAGCUAGAGUAUGGGGGAGGAUGGGAGAAUUCCAGGUGUAGCGGUGAAAUGCGUAGAGAUCUGGAGGGAUACCGAUGGGGAAGGCAGGCAUCCGGCCUAAUACUGACGCUGGGGUACGAAAGCAUGGGGGGCAAAAAGGA
rnacentral:rRNA from 1 species